UACGGGGGGGGCAAGCGUUGUUCGGAAUUACUGGGCGUAAGGGGCUCGUAGGCGGCCAACUAAGUCAGACGUGAAAUCCCUCGGCUUAACCGGGGAACUGCGUCUGAUACUGGAUGGCUUGAGUUUGGGAGAGGGAUGCGGAAUUCCAGGUGUAGCGGUGAAAUGCGUAGAGAUCCGGAGGAACCCCAGAGGCGAAGGCGGCGUCCUGGCUCACAACUGACGCUCAUACACGACAGCAUGGGGAGCGAACGGG
rnacentral:rRNA from 1 species